AUAUACUGUAAUAUGAAAGGUGAUUAACGGUUGAACAGACAUAUAGCACAAAUGAAUGGUUUUGUUUACAUUUUGUUUUGAUCAGAAUGUGUACAAUUGCCUCUGUCUUUAAGGGGUUAAAGCAAGGAGUUUAUAGCUAUCAUAUAAACACAUUAUAACACAGCAGUUUUGCAUAAAAUUAAAAAAUAUGUACAUUUACACCAUUUGUAUUUUAUACUUAUUUGUCCAUCCUUUAUAAAAAAUAUUUGGGAAAUG